AACGCGAAGAACCUUACCUGGGCUCGAACGGCUUAAGAACAACGGUGGAAACACUGUCUUCCCGCAAGGGACUUGAGUCGAGGUGCUGCAUGGCUGUCGUCAGCUCGUGUCGUGAGAUGUUGGGUUAAGUCCCGCAACGAGCGCAACCCUCAUCCCUAGUUGCCACCGGGUAAUGCCGAGCACUCUAGUGAAACCGCCCCGGAUAACGGGGAGGAAGGUGGGGAUGACGUCAAGUCCUCAUGGCCUUUAUGUCCAGGGCUACACACGUGCUACAAUGGUCGGUACAAACCGUCGCAAAGCUGCAAAGUGGAGCUAAUCGGAAAAAGCCGGCCUCAGUUCGGAUUGGAGUCUGCAACUCGACUCCAUGAAGCUGGAAUCGCUAGUAAUCGCAGAUCAGAACGCUGCGGUGAAUACGUUCCCGGGCCUUGUACACACCGAGACGUA
rnacentral:rRNA from 1 species